GAUGAACGCUGGUGGCGUGCUUAACACAUGCAAGUCGAACGGACAGUUGUAAACAUUAGCCUCCUGGGGAUAUUACUAAUGGGAUGGGCGAACGGUGGAUUAACUCCUUAUCAGCCUGCCUAUAACAGGGGGAUAGCGUCCUGAUACCGGGAUUAAUACCGCAUCAAAUCGUAGAAUCGCAUGUUUUAACGUUCAAAGACUUAUUGGUCAUAUAGGGGCGGGCUUCUGUUUCGCUUGUUGUUGAGGUAACAGCCCACCAAGGCGACGAUCAGUAGACGGUAUGAGAGGAUGAACGGACACACUGGAACUGAGCCACGGUCCAAACUCUUACGCGAGGCAGCAGUGGGGAAUAUAGCACAAUGGCGGAAAUCAUGAUGGAGCGACGAUGCGUGAACGAAGAAGGUAUUCGUAUAGUAAAGUUCUGUCAUAUGGGAAGAUAAUGACAGUACCAAAGAAGAAAGCUACGGCUAAAUACGUG
rnacentral:rRNA from 1 species